rnacentral:tRNA from 1 species
CGCGGAGUAGAGCAGCUUGGUAGCUCGUCGGGCUCAUAACCCGGAGGUCGCGAGGUUCAAAUCCCGCCUCCGCACCCA